UUCAAUUGUGCAACCAUUUGCACGCUAUAUUCCCUCUUUGUCUCAAAAUCUCCUUUCUUCUUCAGAUCUCCUCUUCGUCUCCAGAUUUCCUCUCUCUUCUCUUAUUGUCGUCUUCCUCCACCGCCGCGACCACCAAACCCACCCGAUUCAACGAAACUCGUCCUCCUUUCUCAUCUUCCACCAUUUCUUGUCACCUUAACUCCAGAUCUGGCUACCUCCACUACACAAGAAUCCGUUUCUACAGAAACCCAGAAGCAGCCAUGAUUUCAGAUGAGGUAUUUGUUGUCUUGAAGCCUAGUGAUAAAGCUUGUAGAGACGAUAUGAGGUUUUACAUUAGGGAUUCGUUGACAAGGAUGAAGAUUGGGGAUGUGCAGAUGAUGAAGCAAGCUUUGAUUAAGCUUAAUGGAUGAAGUUUCUUAUAGCUUAAAGACGAGCAAUUUUAGGUUUAGUUUUUGUGGUUGGUUUGUGAUUUCAUUUAGUUUGGUAUGAAGUAGGUAUACGGAGACAUCUUCAAUUGCUGUAACGAAAGAAGUGUCUAAGAAAGGUGUCGUUUUGGUGUCUUUGCAGGUGAGGAUGUGAAGAGGACUUUGUUUGUUUCCAUGGUGUUUCUUCUACUCUCAUCUGAUUUGACGGCCAAGCUAAGUAAUAAAGGUAUAAAGUUCUUUGGGUUUAUUUAUGGUUUGCAGGUGAGGAUCUGAGAACUUUGUUUGUUUUCAUGGUCUUUCUUACAUGGGUUCUGGUUUUUGGUUUCCAUGGUGUUUCUUACAUAAUAUUAUCCAUGGUGUUGGAUAAUAUAUCAAUUUGGGUUCUGGUUUUUGGGUUCCAUGGUGAUUCUUACAUAAUAAUAUCCAUGGUGUCGGAUAAUAUAUUAAUUCGUGUUCUCACUGAUUUAUCUUCUUUGGUAGGAGGCCUAUUAACUUCAACGCUCAUGUCUCUCUUUUAUAGUCAUGGAAACAAAGAGUUACAUGUCAAAGUAGUGAAGCUUUUGUUUACAGGAGGAAUUCCAGUUCGUAGAACUGAUGACCCUUUGCAGAAGCUCUUUAUGUCUCUUAGGAGUGAUCUAAAUUUGGCCUUGAAGAACGUGUGUUAGAGCUUGCACCUCACUUCCUUGAGGAGUUAUUACAGGUUUAGAAGAGUCUCUAGGUUCAUGUUUUUGUUGAUUGUGGCAGUUUUAAUGUUAGGUUAAGACUUAGUUUGAGAUUUGUAAUGUAUGUAGUGUAUUGUAGUUGAAAUAUUUAAGAAGAUAUGUACUGUAUUUUGAGCCUUCUAUAAAUUUUUUCUUAUAUA